rnacentral:lncRNA from 1 species
GUUGGAUACAUUGUUGUUUGUGGCACGUGAGGGUGUCCUCAAGUGCAACCCUCCAGAACCUCCGACGUGCCUCACAUUACCCGUGGGAGGGAUUGCUGAAUUGGAAGUACCAGCUUGGGAGGCACGCAUAGACCAAAGGUUCCAGGCAGCAUCUUCUAGAGCAGCUUGUGCGUAUGUUUCUCCAACAGCUGCGAGAUGCCUCAUCACUGUCUGAACUCGUGCGGGAGGGAUUGCUGAACUGGAAGUACCAGCUUGGGAGGCACGCAUAGACCAAAGGUUCCAGGCAGCAUCUUCUAGAGCAGUUUGUGCGUAUGUUUCUCCAACAGCUGCGAGAUGCCUCAUCACUGUCUGAACUCGACCGAGUCCCCCUGAUCUGAUUCCUGUAGAUGGUCCAGCAUCAUCUAAGCCCAACCAACCUGAA